UACAGAGGUCUCAAGCGUUGUUCGGAUUCAUUGGGCGUAAAGGGUGCGUAGGCGGCGCGGUAAGUCGGGUGUGAAAUCUCGGAGCUUAACUCCGAAACUGCAUUCGAUACUGCCGUGCUUGAGGACUGGAGAGGAGACUGGAAUUUACGGUGUAGCGGUGAAAUGCGUAGAUAUCGUAAGGAAGACCAGUGGCGAAGGCGGGUCUCUGGACAGUCCCUGACGCUGAGGCACGAAGGUCAGGGGAGCAAACGGG
rnacentral:rRNA from 1 species